rfam:Ceratocystis platani strain CFO contig_00175, whole genome shotgun sequence.
GGCAAGAUGGCCGAGCGGUCUAAGGCGCUGUGUUCAGGUUCCUCGAUCCCGAAGACCUUCGCAGUGGAGCAAUCCGCGCGAGUUCGAAUCUCGUUCUUGUCA